rnacentral:rRNA from 1 species
GACGAACGCUGGCGGCGUGCCUAAUACAUGCAAGUCGAACGCUUCUUUCCUCCCGAGUGCUUGCUCUCAAUUGGAAAGAGGAGUGGCGGACGGGUGAGUAACACGUGGGUAACCUACCCAUCAGAGGGGGAUAACACUUGGAAACAGGUGCUAAUACCGCAUAACAGUUUAUGCCGCAUGGCAUAAGAGUGAAAGGCUCUUUCGGGUGUCGUUGAUGGAUGGACCCGCGGUGCAUUAGCUAGUUGGUGAGGUAACGGCUCACCAAGGCCACGAUGCAUAGCCGACCUGAGAGGGUGAUCGGCCACACUGGGACUGAGACACGGCCCAGACUCCUACGGGAGGCAGCAGUAGGGAAUCUUCGGCAAUGGACGAAAGUCUGACCGAGCAACGCCGCGUGAGUGAAGAAGGUUUUCGGAUCGUAAAACUCUGUUGUUAGAGAAGAACAAGGACGUUAGUAACUGAACGUCUCAUGACGGUAUCUAACCAGAAAGCCACGGCUAACUACGUG